CCCUCAAUGUGAACAUUUUGGCAGGUCUGUCCAAGAUUCUUCAGGAACCUCCAUCGUCAGAUGUUCUGCUGGACAGAUAACUGGAUUCGCUUAUCAAUCGACGAUAUCCGAGUAUGGGAGGACGAAGUUAAAGACGAACUAGAUAAGACAAGAACUAUUGGAGAAGUACGAGGGAUGUCUGAGCAAUGAGAUGUGGCACAACAGCCGCCAACGACGAAUGUAGAGUGCAUGGAAAUCUACGUUAACGCACGCUACUCCAUCAGCAGCCUUGUUAGUGUAAAGCUACACAACACGUUUCAGGGAAACUCGUUAUUUCAGAUCAACAAAUUCAGUUCUAGUAUGUCUUUACACGUAUCCAUUUUUGUCAGACUAUAAUUUUGGGGUGAACUUGUUUUGGAGUAUAUCAUUUGUAUCAAUCCAAUCCAAAGUGUAUCAAGUGGGGUAGGAGAGCCUCAAGUAUUUGGUUCAUGACUGGUAUUCUAGUUGAUUCUGUGAGAUGAUUUUAAUUCACAACAUUCUUUAUCUUUAGUUAUUGGUAAUUUAGUUAUUGAUUUAAGAAAAUGACAGGUUGACAGUCCUUUGAGGCAGUUGUAAUUCAGGUGAUCGCAUGACUCUAGUUAAAAAAAAGGUGAUUUAGCCUUGGUUGAUAUAAUUUUAGUUAACGAUGUGGUAUUAUUUGAAUUAAUGGAAUAAUAUACUUUAUUAUGAUACAGUAGUAGUUACAGUCGAGUCUCGUUAAUACAAACUCGUUCGGACCUAGCCAAAUUGUUUGUUAUAUCAGAAUUUUGUAUUAAGAGGAACAUCCGUCCCAUUCAUUGUGCACAUAAAUGCACAGUCGGGACCAAAGCUUUAUGUUUGUUAUAACCAGAAUUUUGUAUUAACAGAGUUUGUACUAACGAGAUUCGACUGUAUUCACAAUGAUCAUUAGGUAUUACUAAAGUUAAAAGCAUGAUUUGAUUGUAGUUAAUGAGAAACAUAUUCCUUAGUUAAUAGCUUCACAUUAGAGAUCAUGGGUGAAUUUUUGCUGGUUAAUGUCAAUAUUUGUAUUCAGUGACUUACUUAUCCCUUGCUUAUGACAAUAUUAAUUGUUAUACCUCUGUCUUGAAUACUGUAUUUUAAUUGGCCUAGAACGAUCACAUUCCCCUUGGGAUAUCACGUGUACGGUACCUAACCCUAACCUACGCUAUUUUCAUCAUGUUUUCACACAUGCGUGGGAGCAAGCGAACUAUAGCAGACGAUCAGCUGUUUUGAGCACGUGACAUGCAUGUGAGUUGCCGUUACAUUGUCAUUAUUGUUGUGUUUACUGCUGCUUGUUUUCGUGAUCUUUACAUCAAAAAUCAAGGAAUCCAAGACAGAGGUGUCACAAAACAAUUGUUGACUGCUGUGAUGAGGGAUAUGACGUUUUGAAAACCCUCGAGGCGCAUAGCACCAGAGGCGAAACGUCAUAUCCCACAUCACAGCAGUCAACAAUGGUUAACUACCGGUAUAUCACGCUAGAUGAACUAUAAUCAAGUUUUAAUUAAUUAAUUCCGGUAAAUUGCAGGAGAUGCUAUAGUUCUAGUUAUUUCUAAUAAUAUUCUUGGUACACGCAUGAGAUCAUUAUUGUUAAUUACAGUAGCUAUUGGAUAUACUAGUAGUUUUAGCUAACCACAAUGAUAUUCAGGUAAAUAGUGUGAUAUUAAUAAUAGCUAAUGGUUUUAUCUGAUAGUUGAUAAUAAUAUGUUUUGGACUUUUGGUGUACCAGUGUAUUACUUGACGGGACUUUUUACAGGCACGUAGAAACAGCUUGUAAUUUCCCACAAACCAAUCUGCCGAUUUGGUAAGAAAAUCCUUGUUUAAAGGGAAGAAAAUAGUGGCAUUAACAGUCCCUGCGAAAUUUUUCCACAUUAAAUGGUAUCGUUGACAAUCAAUCAAGAUUUAACAAGCGUGCUCGCUAAAAUUUGACGGGGCUCGAUUACGUGUAUUAGAGAUGGUGCUUUUUACAUAAAACACGAUAAAUAAACGUUCAAAUGGUACUUUA
rnacentral:lncRNA from 1 species